rnacentral:rRNA from 1 species
GACGAACGCUGGCGGCGUGCUUAACACAUGCAAGUCGAGCGGUAAGGCCCUUUCGGGGGUACGACGAGCGGCGAACGGGUGAGUAACACGUGGGUGACCUGCCUUUAGCUCUGGGAUAAGCCUGGGAAACUGGGUCUAAUACCGGAUAUGACUCCGCGGUGCAUGCUGUGGGGUGGAAAGCCUUGUGCGGCUGGAGAUGGGCCCGCGGCCUAUCAGCUUGUUGGUGGGGUGAUGGCCUACCAAGGCGACGACGGGUAGCCGGCCUGAGAGGGCGACCGGCCACACUGGGACUGAGACACGGCCCAGACUCCUACGGGAGGCAGCAGUGGGGAAUCUUGCGCAAUGGGCGAAAGCCUGACGCAGCGACGCCGCGUGAGGGAUGACGGCCUGG